AUACGUAGGGGGCGAGCGUUGUCCGGAAUGACUGGGCGUAAAGGGCGUGUAGGCGGCUCUGUAAGUCUGGAGUGAAAGUCCCGCUUUCAAGGUGGGAAUUGCUUUGGAUACUGUGGAGCUUGAGUGCGGAAGAGGUAAGUGGAAUUCCGGGUGUAGCGGUGAAAUGAGUAGAGAUCGGGAGGAACACCAGUGGCGAAGGCGGGUAACUGGACUGCAACUGACGCUGAGGCGCGAAAGUGUGGGGAGCAAACAGGAUUUGAUACCCUGGUAGUCCACACUGUAAACGAUGAGUGCUAGGUGUAGGAGGUAUCGACCCCUUCUGUGCCGGAGUAAACGCAAUAAGCACUCCGCCUGGGGAGUACGGUCGCAAGAUUAAAACUCAAAGGAAUUGACGGGG
rnacentral:rRNA from 1 species